rnacentral:rRNA from 1 species
AGAGUUGAUCCUGGCUUAGGAUGAACGCUGGCGGCGUGCUUAACACAUGCAAGUCGAACGGAUCUGUCCGCUGUAAGAUGAAGUGCUUGCAUCGAUCUUGCUUGGGACAGGUUAGUGGCGGACGGGUGAGUAACGCGUGGGUAACCUGCCUGUAUCUGGGGGAUAACAGUUAGAAAUGACCGCUAAUACCGCAUAAGCGCACAGUACCGCAUGGUACCGUGUGAAAAAACUCCGGUGGAUACAGAUGGACCCGCGUUGGAUUAGCCGGUUGGUGGGGUAACGGCCUACCAAAGCAACGAUCCAUAGCCGGCCUGAGAGGGCGACCGGCCACAUUGGGACUGAGACACGGCCCAAACUCCUACGGGAGGCAGCAGUGGGGAAUAUUGCACAAUGGGGGAAACCCUGAUGCAGCGACGCCGCGUGAGCGAAGAAGUAUUUCGGUAUGUAAAGCUCUAUCAGCAGGGAAGAAAAUGACGGUACCUGACUAAGAAGCCCCGGCUAACUACGUGCCAGCAGCCGC